CCUACGGGAGGCAGCAGUGGGGAAUAUUGGACAAUGGGGGCAACCCUGAUCCAGCCAUGCCGCGUGUGUGAAGAAGGCCCUCGGGUUGUAAAGCACUUUCAGUGAGGAAGAACGCCUGGUGGUUAAUACCCAUCAGGAAAGACAUCACUCACAGAAGAAGCACCGGCUAACUCCGUGCCAGCAGCCGCGGUAAUACGGAGGGUGCGAGCGUUAAUCGGAAUUACUGGGCGUAAAGCGCGCGUAGGUGGCUCGAUAAGCCGGUUGUGAAAGCCCCGGGCUCAACCUGGGAACGGCAUCCGGAACUGUCAAGCUAGAGUGCAGGAGAGGAAGGUAGAAUUCCCGGUGUAGCGGUGAAAUGCGUAGAGAUCGGGAGGAAUACCAGUGGCGAAGGCGGCCUUCUGGACUGACACUGACACUGAGGUGCGAAAGCGUGGGUAGCAAACAGGAUUAGAUACCCGGGUAGUC
rnacentral:rRNA from 1 species